rnacentral:rRNA from 1 species
UUCCGGUUGAUCCUGCCGGAGGCUACCGCUAUUGGAGUUCGAUUAAGCCAUGCGAGUCGCGAGAAAUUAGAUUCUCGGCGUACCGCUCAGUAACACGUGGGUAACCUGCCCUAUGCUGGAUAAUAACCUCGGGAAACUGAGAAUAAUGAUCCAUAGUUCACUACGCCUGGAACGGUGAGUGGAUGAAAGCCCCGGCGGCAUAGGAUGGGCCUGCGGCGUAUCAGGUUGUAGGGGGUGUAACGUACCCUCUAGCCCUCUACGCGUACGGGUGUUGGGAGACAUAGCCCGGAGAUGGAUUCUGAGACACGAAUCCAGACCCUACGGGGUGCAGCAGGCGCGAAAACUUCACACUGCAGGAAACUGUGAUGAGGGAACUCCAAGUGCACGCACUUAGUGUGUGCUUUUUUCAACUAUUAAUCGGUUGAAGAAUAAGGGCUGGGAAAGACCGGUGCCAGCCGCCGCGGUAAUACCGGCAGCUCAAGUGGUCGUCGCUUUUAUUGGGACUAAAACGUCCGUAGCCUGUUUGGUAAAUCUGUGGGUAAAUCAACCAGCUUAACUGGUUGAAUUCUGCAGAGACUGCCAGACUGGGGACCGGGAGAGGUGUGAGGUACUCUAGGGGUAGGGGUAAAAUCCUGUCAUCCUUAGAGGACCACCAGUUGCGAAGGCGCCACACUGGAACGGAUCCGACGGUCAGGGACGAAGCCUAGGGGCACGAACCGGAUUAGAUACCCGGGUAGUCCUAGGUGUAAACGCUGUGAACUUGGUGUCGGGGAUCCGUCAUGGGUCCCCGGUGCCGGAGUGAAGAUGUUAAGUUCACUGCCUGGGGAGUACGGUCGCAAGGCUGAAACUUAAAGGAAUUGGCGGGGGAGCACUGCAACGGGAGGAGCGUGCGGUUUAAUUGGAUUCAACGCCGGA